UUCCGAGACAUUUUGGGAUGCUGUGCGCAGAGUGAGCGUGUGGUAUAAUUUGGUAUUUAAUUGUAAUUAAUUAGGAAACAGCUUGUGUCGAAUAUCCAAAGUUUAACUUGUAAGGUAUACGUCAUUCCUCGGCUAUAGUUGCGACAUUAAACGUCAUGGAACAGGAGCUGAAGAACAAGAUUGACCAGGCAUGCCACACCGCGGAGGAAUUCACCAAGUUGUACUAUGAAAGCGUGGACAAGAGGCGCCAUCUGAUGUCACGGUACUAUUUGGACACCGGGGUCCUAGUAUGGAAUGGAAAUGGGACUGUUGGCAAAGAACUGAUUCAGAAGUUUUUUGAAGGGUUACCACCUUCAGAACACACACUCACGUCUCUGGAUUCUCAGCCUGUACUCGAUGUAGCUGUGGCCAAUCAGCUGACAUUCUUGAUUCUUGCUUGUGGAUUUGUAAAAUUCCAAGACAAGGUGUCACGCCCAUUCCAGCAAAAUUUUACAGUAACAGCUCAGGGAGACAAAUGGAAGAUAGUAACCGACUGCUUCCGUCUGCAGGAGCCAGUCAGGGGCAUAGAGUUACAGCAAGGUCUAGUAACUGAUUGGUCAGCACAUUCCAGAGCCUUAUAACGCAGCUGCAAGCAGCUACGUGCUAGCUAGGUGGAGCCAGAGAGAUGUAUAGUGUGUUGCAACUUAUCGUGUUUUAAAAACCCGUUAACACACGAACGGUCCACCAUGUUUAAAAGCGAAAAACCUUUUAAAGGGUUGUGACUGGAAUGCUGCCCACGUUUAUUGAUGGAAUAUUAUAUGUAUAUAAAGCUAUCAAUAAAUUUCACAAAUAACUGA